GUAGAUAUAGUUUAACACAAAACAUUAGAUUGUGGUUCUAAAAAUGGGAGUUGAACCCUUCCUAUCCACC
rnacentral:tRNA from 1 species